UACGUAGGGGACGAGCGUUAUUCGGAUUCACUGGGCGUAAAGGGUGCGCAGGCGGCUAAGUGUGUUAGGCGUGAAAGCCCGGGGCUUAACCCCGGAAUUGCACCUAAAACUACAUGGCUAGAGCAUUGGAGAGGGUAGCGGAAUUCACGGUGUAGCAGUGAAAUGCGUAGAUAUCGUGAGGAACACCAGAGGCGAAGGCGGCUACCUGGACAAUUGCUGACGCUCAGGCACGAAAGCGUGGGGAGCAAAAGGG
rnacentral:rRNA from 1 species